rnacentral:rRNA from 1 species
GGGCGAAAGCCUGAUGCAGCAACGCCGCGUGAGCGAUGAAGGCCUUCGGGUCGUAAAGCUCUGUCCUAAGGGAAGAAUAAUUGACGGUACCUUAGGAGGAAGCCCCGGCUAACUACGUGCCAGCAGCCGCGGUAAUACGUAGGGGGCUAGCGUUAUCCGGAAUUACUGGGCGUAAAGGGUGCGUAGGCGGUCUUGUAAGUCAGAGGUGAAAGGCUACGGCUCAACCGUAGUAAGCCUUUGAAACUACAAGACUUGAGUGCAGGAGAGGAGAGUAGAAUUCCUAGUGUAGCGGUGAAAUGCGUAGAUAUUAGGAGGAAUACCAGUUGCGAAGGCGGCUCUCUGGACUGUAACUGACGCUGAGGCACGAAAGCGUGGGGAGCGAACAGGAUUAGAUACCCUGGUAGUCCACGCCGUAAACGAUGAGUACUAGGUGUCGGGGGUUACCCCCCUCGGUGCCGCAGCUAACACAAUAAGUAUUCCGCCUGGGGAGU